rnacentral:lncRNA from 1 species
AUACCACCCUGUAGCUUCUUUAAGCCCGGAGACUACAUUUCCCAGAGAGCCAUGCGGGGCCAGGAUGUGCGUAACGCGCAGGCGCCGGGACAUUUUUCUGUUUAUAUAAGGGAGGUGCGCGGUUUGUCUUCCUCUUUCUGAUCUCCGCUUCUUUAGUGUUUGCUUUGUGUCGUUCUUCAUCCGGAGCCAUCGUGGUCUUGGAAUGCCUCUUGGUGAACUACUUCUGGAAGGAGGAGGGAGGCAUAUUAUGGGGAUUUUGGAGACCUGGGUGUUUAGGUACCAUGACCCCAUGCUGGCUUCUCUUCUGAUUUCAUCAGGAAUUUAAAAUUGGUGGAUGACCAAUUGAAAUGAAGUAAGUGAAAUUUGGAGACUUGAAAAAUCUGAGGUGUGGCCUUAAAUGAAGAAGACAGCCUUUGCUUAUGAAUAUGAAACAUUGAGUUGGCUGUUCCAGCUGUUAUUAGAAUAAAAUAGUCUUGUUUUACA